rnacentral:misc_RNA from 1 species
AAGUCGUAACAAGGUUUCCGUAGGUGAACCUGCGGAAGGAUCAUUAACGAGUUUUGAAAGGGGUUGUCGCUGGCCUUUCACGAGGCAUGUGCACACCCUGCUCAUCCACUCUCAACCUCUGUGCACUUAUUGUAGGUCGGCGGAAGGCUCGCAAGAGCUGGAAGCCUGCUUAUGUUUUACUACAAACGCUUCAGUUAUAGAAUGUUUACUUGCGUAUAGCGCAUUUAUAUACAACUUUCAGCAACGGAUCUCUUGGCUCUC